CGGACCGGCGCACGGGUGCGUAACGCGUAUGCAACCUACCAUUAACAGGGGGAUAACACUGAGAAAUUGGUACUAAUACCCCAUAAUAUCUCAUGCGGCAUCGCAUGGGGUUGAAAACUCCGGUGGUUGAUGAUGGGCAUGCGUUGUAUUAGCUGGUUGGUGAGGUAACGGCUCACCAAGGCGACGAUACAUAGGGGGACUGAGAGGUUAACCCCCCACAUUGGUACUGAGACACGGACCAAACUCCUACGGGAGGCAGCAG
rnacentral:rRNA from 1 species